UUCAAGAAUGUUCCUCCUCCUCCCAAGAACCGCAGGUUGCGAAUGGAACUUGGCCUAGGUGGGAAGCUGGAAUCGGGUCUAGCCUUGACCAGAGGCAGUAUGAAUUUAGUGUCUUCGACUUUUCUAAAUAGUAAUUGAGAUUUCAAAACAACAACAACAACAACAAAAGCAAGUCUCAUUGGAUUUCUCCAGUGUUUCUCCUGGAAUUGGUGUCAUUCCUUUCCCAUUUGCAGUUCCAGCUUCUUCAAACAUCUGAACACCAACGGCUGCCUGUUGGUAUUUAAGAAAGAAGAAUAUAAAACGAUGGCUUCAGUUUCCUGGUCCAUGAUAAGAAGUGAUAGCCUCUGAGCUUUAAAUUUAAGUAAAAUUAUGGGAAUUCA
rnacentral:sRNA from 1 species